rnacentral:SRP_RNA from 1 species
GGCCGUACGGCAAUGAUAGACUUUCGAAUCGUGUCAGAUCCGGAAGGAAGCAGCACUAAGGAUGUUCCGUCAUGUGCCGUUCGUACAUA